GACAUGCAAGUCGUGCGAGAACCAGGGCUUCGGCCCUGGGGACAGCGGCGAACGGGUGAGUAACACGUGGGUCAUCUGCCCUCGGCACCGGAAUAGCCCGGGGAAACCCGGAUUAAUGCCGGAUGGCCCGCCCGCCUUUCGGGGCGGUCGGAAAAGGUAGCUUCGGCCUCUGGCCGAGGAUGAGCCCGCGGCGGAUUAGCUUGUUGGUGAGGUAACGGCUCACCAAGGCGACGAUCCGUAGCUGGUCUGAGAGGACGAUCAGCCACACUGGGACUGAGACACGGCCCAGACUCCUACGGGAGGCAGCAGUGGGGAAUCUUGCGCAAUGGGCGAAAGCCUGACGCAGCGACGCCGCGUGAGGGAAGAAGGCCUUCGGGUUGUAAACCUCUUUCAGGAGGGACGAAGCCACUCGGGUUAAUAGCCCAGAGGGUGACGGUACCUCCAGAAGAAGCCCCGGCUAACUACGUGCCAGCAGCCGCGGUAAUACGUAGGGGGCAAGCGUUGUCCGGAUUUAUUGGGCGUAAAGCGCGUGUAGGCGGCCAGGCAGGUCCGUUGUGAAAACUGGAGGCUCAACCUCCAGACGUCGAUGGAAACCGCUUGGCUAGAGUCCGGAAGAGGAGAGUGGAAUUCCUGGUGUAGCGGUGAAAUGCGCAGAUAUCAGGAAGAACACCGAUG
rnacentral:rRNA from 1 species